rnacentral:tRNA from 1 species
GGUAAAAUGGCUGAAAAUAGGCGAUAAACUGUAAAUUUAUUUAUGAAAGUUAAAUUUCUUUUACCA